GCAAGCUACUAAGGGCGCACGGCGGAUGCCUAGGAGCAAGGAGCCGAUGAAGGGCGUGGUCAGCUGCGAUAAGCUGCGAGGAGCCGCAAACAGGCGUUGAUCCGCAGAUCCCCGAAUGGGAGAACCCGGCCACCGAAUGGGUGGUCACCCACCGCUGAACCCAUAGGCGGUGUGGAGGGAACCUGGGGAACUGAAACAUCUCAGUACCCAGAGGAAAAGAAAUCGAACGAGAUUCCCUCAGUAGCGGCGAGCGAACGGGGAAGAGCCUAAACCAACUGGGCGUGCCCAGUUGGGGUCGUGGGACCGACAUCCGAGUACGCCUUCCGCUUAGCAGAAGUGUCUGGAACGGCACGCCAUAGAGGGUGAGAGCCCCGUAUGCGAAAAGUGGAAGCGACUCGUCGGUAUCCCGAGUAGCACGGGAUAAGUGGAGCCCUGUGCGAAUCUGCCCGGACCACCGGGUAAGGCUAAAUACUCCUUGCUACCGAUAGCGCAACCAGUACCGUGAGGGAACGGUGAAAAGCACCCCGGCGAGGGGAGUGAAAGAGAACCUGAAACCGUGCGCUUACAAACAGUCGGAGGACUAUACCCCUCUGGGGGACAGUCUGACGGCGUGCCUUUUGCAGAAUGAGCCGGCGAGUUACGCUCAGCGGCAAGGUUAAGCGUCUCAGACGCGGAGCCGUAGCGAAAGCGAGUCCUCACAGGGCGACUCAGUCGCUGGGCGUAGACCCGAAACCGCGCGAUCUACCCCUGGUCAGGCUGAAGCCGUGGUAACACACGGUGGAGGGCCGAACUGGUGACCGUUGAAAAGGUCUCGGAGGAACUGGGGGUAGUGUGGUGAAAUGCCAAUCGAGCGCGGAGAUAGCUGGUUCUCCCCGAAAUGCAUUGAGGUGCAGCCUCACGCGCUAUGCUAUGCAGGUAGAGCCACUGGAUGGGCUAGGGGCCCUACCAGGUUACCGAACCCAACCAAACUCCGAAUGGCAUAGCAGGAAGCGUGGGAGUGAGACAGCGACGGAUGAGCGCCGUUGUCAAAAGGGUAACAGCCCAGACCGCCCGCUAAGGUCCCCAAACACAGGCUAAGUGUGAAAGGAUGUAGGGUCGCGUAAACAACCAGGAGGUUGGCUUAGAAGCAGCCAUCCUUUAAACAGUGCGUAACAGCUGACUGGUCGAAUGUGACCCUGCGCCGACAAUGUAAGGGGGCUCAAGCCUGUUACCGAAGCGGCGGGUUCCCGCAAGGGAGCGGUAGGGGAGCGUUCUGCUCGCAGUGAAGGUGGAGCGGAAGCACCACUGGAGCGUGCAGAAGUGAGAAUGCCGGCACGAGUAGCGAGAAGACGGGUGAGAAUCCCGUCCGCCGAAAGCCUAAGGGUUCUUCAGGCAGGUUCGUCCGCUGAAGGUUAGGCGGUCCUAAGUCGAGGGCGAAACGCCGUAGGCGAAGGGCAGUGGGUCAACAUUCCCACCCCAGGUGGUGGAGCCAAGCGGUGACGCUUCAGAAUCGGUCGGGCGCAGAGUUGGAAGGCUGCGCUCGCCCCAGCGGCAACUCUGGGGCGACGAAGGGAUCCCUCGUGGUGAACGAAGCGACCGUGACUGGAGCCGAGAAAACCCGUGUAGCGUUGAAACCACCUGACCGUACCGCAAACCGACACAGGUAGGCGAGGCGAGGAGCCUCAGGCGCGCGAGAGAAGUCCCGCUAAGGAACUCGGCAAAUUGACCCCGUAACUUCGGGAGAAGGGGUGCCUCGAAAGAGGUCGCAGCAAAGCGGGCCCGGCGACUGUUUACCAAAAACACAGCUCUCUGCGAAGGGGAAACCCGAUGUAUAGGGGGCGACGCUUGGCCAAUGCCCGUAGGUUAAGGGGAGGGGUCAGCCGCAAGGUGCAGCCCUGAACUGAAGCCCGGGUGAAUGCCGGCCGUAACUCUAACGGUUCGUCACAGGGCCGUUGUAAAAUCUGGCUAUAUGCUGGAACAGCUCGUGGAUCCCACACUACCGAGGAGGUGACAAAGUGAUGGGUGGAGCCAAUCAGCAGGAAAGACUUGAAGUCACCGAAGAGGCGAAAUGGUUCCUCGCUGGGUUCAUCGAAGGCGAAGGCUCGCUGCUGGUGAGCAUCAAACACCACGACACCAGCCGCUACGGAUACUAUGUUGACCCAGAGUUCCAUCUGGUGCAACACCGCAGCGGACUACCUCUGCUUAGACUCGCCCAGCAAGUCUUCGGCACAGGACGCAUCUUCCCGAAACCGGGAAGCCCCAACUGCUAUGUCUACGCCAUUCACUGUCGGCGUAGCCUCUGGGAGAAGGUCGUACCCUACUUCGAGAAGUAUGUGGUACCCUUCUCAUGCAAGCGCGAAACCUUCUAUCGGUUCCGCGAAAUCCUGGAGCUGAUGAACCAAGGGGAACACCGCCGCCCUGAGGGGCUGGCAUGCAUCGUCGAGAAGGCGUAUGCGAUGAACCCAGCCGCUAAGGGAAAGCAACGGCUCCGACCGCUGCAGGAGGUGAUUUCAAGAAUCCUCAGAGACCAUACGCCAGACGCUUCGCAGUCUCCUGCGGAGUGAAGAUAUGGUCCAGUCCCUAUGGCGACAUAGGGGGCAACUGCCUAUGGUAGCGAAAUUCCUUGUCGCGUAAAUUGCGACCCGCACGAAAAGCGUAACGACUGGGCCACUGUCUCAGCGGGACUCUCGGUGAAACUGUAGCACCCGUGAAGAUGCGGGUUACCUGCGGUAGGACGGAAAGACCCUAUGGAGCUUUACUACAGCUUGAGAUUGCAUUUCGGUAUGUCAUGUAGAGCGUAGGUGGGAGCUUCGGCGCCAAUGGAACACCACCCUUGACCUA
rnacentral:rRNA from 1 species